rnacentral:sRNA from 1 species
CCGGCCUAGUUUGCGGCUGCUCCUGACGUGUUGCGUAGGGCGCCUGUGCUUGGGUGGUUUGUGCUUGAGGUUGAGGGUUGCGUCGCUCUCUGGUAAAGGCGUGCGGGUGUUGGCCGCGGCCUCUGAGCUGGGAUGAGCCGUGCUCCCGGUGGAAGCAAGGGAGCCCAGCCGGAGCCAUGGCCAGUACAGUGGUAGCAGUUGGACUGACCAUUGCUGCUGCAGGAUUUGCAGGCCGUUACGUUUUGCAAGCCAUGAAGCAUAUGGAGCCUCAAGUAAAACAAGUUUUUCAAAGCCUACCAAAAUCUGUAAGACUUAACACUUUUGCUAAUUCUUUGCUGCUUCUAUUUGAAACCUAGAGGCACACUUAAGGAAGGGUAAAUUUCCAAAUAUCCAUGAAGUUCUAAGUGAUUGCCUUGGACCCAUUCUCCUGCUUCCCGCAAGUAGAGUGUAGAAGUUCUGAACUUUGUAAUGGUGCUACCCUGAAACAUCAGAUGUUAUAUGUGACAAAGUUGGAUGGGGUUUUGACAAUUCUAGUACCCUACUAGACCCAAGUUUCUUGUGAAAUAAUCACUUUUUCACAUACCAUCACCUUCAGCAUCAUCUGUACAUAUUCUUGUUUUCCUUCAUCUGCUCUGCAUCGCACACACAGAGGUAUAUGAUUCUAAAGUGAUCCGAUCUUACCAUGUGGCCCUGGCACUCCCAAACAUCAUACAUAGGUAGCACUCUAGUUAAUUAGGCUAUAGGGUUUGGCUUGAUGUUACAGUGAUACCCUCUGUGAUCAUCUGUUGAAUAUUUAUGUUGUGAUUAAGUGUAACAGAAUAGAGUAAUUGUAGGCUUUACCAAUAUGAUUUCUGACAUGGCAAGGUCAGAGGACCUAAUAGUGGUAUUUUCUGUAUAUAUUUCUUAAAGUAUAAACAUCUUAAAGAUGUUUCAAAUACCGUUGAACCUCUUGUCUCAAAAGACUUCCAGAUCCUGUUCUUGAGCCACUUCUUGCAGAUUUUUGUCUAGAAUAUGGCUAAUUUGGAACGAUCUUUCCUUUACUCCUGGAAGACCUGGCUUUCAGACACUGUUUUUUUGUCUUAUAUUUCCAAGAUAGUUCAUAUUGGCUGGAAAAAAAUGAAUCUGUUUAAUGAUCAUUAAAAUACUACUCAUUGCUACUUAUUUAU